rnacentral:rRNA from 1 species
AUGCGCGAGGAGUUGAGGACAUACCGCUGUGCUGCUUGCUUGAAGAUUGAAAAUGCCUGCCUGAAAGUUGAGCUUGCACGCUCGUUUCGUAAUGCUGCUACAAUUCUAGAAGCUGAAGCACAAUCUGAACUGGAGGUUGGGUUUUCCUCUACAGCACCCCAGAUUCCAGUUGAUACUAGCGCAACUGCACCACUCCAGCCGAGUGCAGCAGGGAGUCAAGAUGAACCAUGCGAGUAA